GGAGAUUGUUGACUCAAAGUGUUUUUGUUAUGUGCUCCCGUCAUGGGCAAGAAAACAUAAGGAAAAAGAAAGAAAGAAUAAUAGUUGGAACAGGAAAAGAAUAAAACACUGGGUUUGCUUGAGACCCAAAACUCCCUUGGACCCUUUUUGGGAUUGAAUUUCUGAUUGUCUAUUAUUACA